ACUGGGUGUGGUGCUGAACACCUGUAAUCCCAGCGACUCGGGAGGCUGAGGCAGGAGGAUCGCAAGUUCAAAGCCAGCCUUAGCAAAAGCAAAGAGCUAUGCAAUUCAGUGAGACCACGUCUCUG
rnacentral:sRNA from 1 species